rnacentral:rRNA from 1 species
GAUGAACGCUGGCGGCGUGCUUAACACAUGCAAGUCGAACGGAAAGGCUCCUGCUUGCAGGGGUACUCGAGUGGCGAACGGGUGAGUAACACGUGGGUGAUCUGCCCUUCACUUCGGGAUAAGCCUUGGAAACUGGGUCUAAUACCGGAUAGGACGAUGGUUUGGAUGCCAUUGUGGAAAGUUUUUUCGGUGUGGGAUGAGCUCGCGGCCUAUCAGCUUGUUGGUGGGGUAAUGGCCUACCAAGGCGUCGACGGGUAGCCGGCCUGAGAGGGUGUACGGCCACAUUGGGACUGCGAGACGGACCAGACUCCUACGGGAGGCAGCAGUGGGGAAUAUUGCACAAUGGGCGCAAGCCUGAUGCAGCGACGCCGCGUGGGGGAUGACGGCCUUCGGGUUGUAAACUCCUUUCGCUAGGGACGAAGCGAAAGUGACGGUACCUGGAGAAGAAGCACCGGCUAACUACGUG